GGAGCCGAAACGUCUUGAUUCUGAAAACAGUGUCCAGAUGACUACGACUGAAACCUUUUCUACGAUUUAUUACAUUUAUACUUUAUUUAUGUAUAUUGUGAUGACUCAGAAAUAAGAAAACACAGCUGCAUUUAAUCCUACGUGAUUCUUUGUUAGUCUUUCCUGCGGUGACAACUUUUUUUCAUGACAUGACAUCCAAAAUUCUACCUUCCUCCAACUCAACAACAGGUUGUGUCAGGUCUAGCAUGCUACUGAGUAUUUGGGGAGAGUAUAAUUAGUCGGUUUCAGCUGUGACAGUUACCUCUCCCUGACGCUGCUCACCUGAGCCACUCCCCCACCUCUCCCUCUGCAGCUGACGCUCUCCAUGCCUACCUCCACAGUGUAUUACACACAUGGGCCUGGACAGUAACACUUCCAGGCUACAGAGGUCAUCAGCAGUCAGACAACAGACAAUCAGCCAUUGUGUGGUGAUUACUUGUAUUAAUGUCUUUUUAUUGUUAAAUGAAUGAAAACAAAAAUUAAUGAACAAAUCCGUUAAUUAUAUGCCUAAUCUAGAAAACCAACUCAUCGUCACAUGAUUUAAUAUUCAAAAAUUAACACUACAAGAAAACAAUUAUAGGAGAUAUAAUGAAACAUUUUUAAUGUAGUCGACAAGCAUAGGCUGUAGCAGUAGCAGUAAUGAUGCUAAAUUUAUGUAAAUUACAGCCUAAUAUAUUCACAUGAACCCUUACUUCUUAAAGGCUUCUGCCAUCUUAAAUUCCUUUGUACAAGAGGGAAAUAAACAAAUAUGCCAUUGUGUAAACCUAACAUUAUAUUCAUAUAAUAGCAAUAAAAGCAUUAUAACAACCUUUACAUGCAACUGUGGUUCUAUGAACUUGCUACAAAGACAAACAACAGAUAUACUGUCAGUGGGAAUGAUUUUAAUACAGAGGUAAAUGGGUGCAUUUGCAACAUAUAAACAACCUACUUGGCAGAACGCAUGAGAACAUUCGUGUUUAUGUUUGUGUGUGUGCAUGUGUGUGUGGUGCAGCAUUGUGGACCGUUAAAUAGAUCUGGAUGGAAGUCUAAUCCACUGUAUGCAGCCAUGAGGGAGCGAGAAAGCCAAGGCAGAGAUGAUGGGAGGGGUAAUGUGAGCCAUUACAGACAAAGUACUGGGACAGUGUGGUAACAUUUGGCUUCUUAGCAACAUUUGAGGUUCUAGCUCAAUUUCUUUUUCAUAAUCACUUUAUUGUUAUGCAGUAACAAAAUGUGACCAAGCUGGUUCAAGUGCUUCAAGUAGUGUUCUUAUUCAUCUUACAGCUUAUUUAUUUACAGGUCAGCUUUUUGGAUAUGGAACACUUUUUUAAUGUACCUUUGCAAACUGAUGUAAAACCUUUCAAUCUCCCUCUGUCCCUCAAGCUUUUGACUUACAACUCAUAAUUAGCUGUACACAAGUUACCAUGCAGUUACCAUGCAAGCUGCUGGCUUGACCAUCGGGAGCAAUUUGGAGUUCAGUGUCUUGCCUAAGGACACUUCGACAUGUGGACAGGAGGAGGAGGGGAUCGAACCCACCAACCCCAUGAUGAGUGGAUGACCUGGUCUACCUCCUGAGCCACAGCCACCCCAAAACAUAUUUCCCCCAAAUGUCAAACUAGUCCUGUGAAGCAGAAGCAACUAUUUCCUCUAUUGUCUGUCAUCUCUGUCUCCCAGUUAGCUUGUUUUAUUAAAAUUUCUAAUUGAUUUUCAUGUCAUCUAAUCCAUGUUCCCACAUUUGUAUGAGCUGUUAUGGCUUUGAAAAGGCACUGGCACUCUGCUGUGGAUUACUCUUACAGUUUCCAUCAGCCAAGCAUUUUCUCACCACAUGGAAUCGAGACAAAAAGUGUCUCUUUUGGUCUAUUUAUUGCAGCCACAAUCUGUCAACUGGUCGUUUAAUCAAAUUUGCAUUAACAGUUACAGCUCUGGAGAGUCUGCUUUUGGUCAAUGUUCGUACAAGCAGUCUGCUUAUUGUGUCAACUGCACAAAAUGGUAGUUAGGCUGUGUGUAAUAUAUGCAAGC